UACGUAGGGGGCAAGCGUUGUCCGGAUUUAUUGGGCGUAAAGAGCGUGUAGGCGGCCAAGCAGGUCAGCUGUGAAAACUCGAGGCUCAACCUCGAGACGUCGGUUGAAACCGCUUGGCUAGAGUCCGGAAGAGGAGAGUGGAAUUCCGGUGUAGCGGUGAAAUGCGCAGAUAUCGGGAAGAACACCCGUGGCGAAGGCGGCUCUCUGGGACGGUACUGACGCUGAGACGCGGAAAGCGUGGGGAGCGAACAGG
rnacentral:rRNA from 1 species